UCCCUGGUGGUCCCGUGGUUAAGACUCUGCACUCCCAAUGCAGGGGCCCAAGUUCGAUCCCUGGUCAAGGAA
rfam:TPA: Bos taurus chromosome 18, whole genome shotgun sequence.